rnacentral:rRNA from 1 species
CCUACGGGUGGCAGCAGUGGGGAAUAUUGCACAAUGGGGGAAACCCUGAUGCAGCGACGCCGCGUGAAGGAAGAAGUAUUUCGGUAUGUAAACUUCUAUCAGCAGGGAAGAAAAUGACGGUACCUGUCUAAGAAGCCCCGGCUAACUACGUGCCAGCAGCCGCGGUAAUACGUAGGGGGCAAGCGUUAUCCGGAUUUACUGGGUGUAAAGGGAGCGUAGGCGGUUUAGCAAGUCAGAAGUGAAAGCCCGGGGCUCAACCCCGGGACUGCUUUUGAAACUGUUGAACUAGAGUGCAGGAGAGGUAAGUGGAAUGCCUAGUGUAGCGGUGAAAUGCGUAGAUAUUAGGAGGAACACCAGUGGCGAAGGCGGCUUACUGGACUGUAAAUGACGCUGAGGCUCGAAAGCGUGGGGAGCAAACAGGAUUAGAUACCCUAGUAGUC